AAAAUUUAUCCUCCUGCAAACGCCCGCAACCGCAAACGCUAGCUGGAACCAGCUUUUGAAUUUAUGAGGUUCAAAGCGAUUUGGAGCGAUUUGGAGCGGUUUAGAGCGGUUUGAGCGAUUGUUGCAAAACGCCAGCAACCGCUACUAACCGCAAAAGCUGCGUUUGCGGGUGGUAGCGGGAAAACCAGUCAUACCCUUAAGCAUGCAAGUCUGUCAGCAAUAAUCCUUUCUCAAAAAAAAAGAAAAGUCGGUCAGUAUUGUAUUUUUAAUUAACUCGACAACAUUUAUUACAAAAUAUUAAACAUAACUUAUAUAUUUUAAAAUAUUUUAUUAUAUCUUCUUGUUUUACUCUUUCUAACAAAUUCAUCAAUUGUAUUUACUAUAAUAUCACAUCAUUUAUUUAACGUGUUAAGAAUAAUAAUUUUUAGGUUUGAAUAAAAACAAUUAUUCGUGACAAAAAUUCAAACCGUUAAAAAAAAUUAUUUGUUCACAAAAUCAGUUAGACAUGGACAUUCAAGUGUUAAAAAUCAGUUUAUUUUGAUAUCAUUAUUUUGUUUUAAAAUUAAACUCCAUUCAGAUACUAUAAAUUUAUGGAUGAGAUUCGAUUCAGAUCAUUUCGGAUCCGGAUAUGAAUCUAAAAAUAUUUAAAUAACCAAUAUGUUUAAAAAUAUUAUCAAACAAUUUAUAAAAAAAAAAUUAAAAUCCGUGCAAACUCGCUAGUAAAGUUUUAAGAUGCGAGAUACUUUUUUUUUGAAACAUAAGAAGUUGAAACAUUUGUGCAAAUGUUCUUGUAAGACGCGAGAUACUCGUAUAUAUAAAAUUUGUGUUCUUGUAAUUAUAAUUGUAUUCUCAAUCUAAUACCACUUCCAAUAAUAAAAUUUCUCUUUACCUAUAGACGUGGCUGAAAUGGUGAACCAUAUUAGAUCUAAGUGCCGUUUACUUUUGUAUUUAUUCAUUUGUUGCAUCUGGAAUCGUAUAUUGUGAAUUUUUAUUGUAUAACAAUUAUAAAGUGUCUAUAUUAAGUACUACUGUAAUUAUUCCCAUAAAUAAUGUAAGAAGUAAUAGGCUAAUGACAAAAAUCGAAUACUUUAAGUUAUAUUUUUUUUAACAGAGCCUUACUAAGUUACUUGAUGUAGGUAACUAGAUGUGCAUUUCGGAAGGGGAUAUUGCUAUUUUAGACAUGAAACCAUAUAAUUUCAGGGGAUAUAUGUCUGCCACGUGUAGAGUAAAUGUUGGUUAAGACUCAUCCACUUUGGUUGGUUGAAAUUUUGAAAUCCAUUGAGCAAGCGAAGACAAACAUACAACAACGGGCACCUGUUCGGAUAAACACAUAUACCUUUCAUAUUGCACCUCAUCUACUCGCAUACAAAAUGCAUAUUUAAUUAACAUAUACUUGUAUAUAAUAUUAAUAUAAUGUAGAUGUAAUGCAACAUAAAGUGGGACAACUGAAAUUAGGUGAUGUGUCAUCAUGGUUACCAGAUAAGUGUCUUUUUUUUUUCUUUUUAACUCAAAAUUUUAUUAUUUUUUUCAUAAUGAAACAUCGUGGAUUAUAAAAACGAGCAGAAAAUAGUAAUAUCUCCGAAAACAAUAACAAUGAGGUAGAAUAAUACGAGAAAUAAAUAUUAGAGAGCCACAUGUACUAAAGUUGGAACUGAUGGACUGAUCAUAACUCGCACACAUUCGUGAGAAACAUGAGACCGAAGAUAACUAAAGAAUCAAUGACUUAGGCAAACCCAAUCCUAAAAGGUACACCACAAAGCCAAAACAGGCGCAACAUCGGGACUAACAUGUACGAGAAUAAACUUACAUCAACACCAAAGACUGUUGCAAACCGGAGUCAAGGCAGAACCAAGUCAAAACCAAACACCUAGACUCAAGGACACAAUAACUUGAAAAGCUAAAGGAAAAAAACACAGGCGAAGAUUUAGAGAUCUUACACACUCGUUAGGCAGAAUAGCGAUCUAUGGAACUAAAACUGGUCACUUCCUCGCAAGAGAAAACUUGCAAAUCAAACUCACUGAUUCGUCUCCAAACGCUCGCCCAAUCCAUUGUGGAUAAAGGUAUAGUAGAUACCUCCACAGCAAAUACACCUCACACCGACGAAUCCAAAAAGCUAGAACAAGCGAAAAAGAAUUAACCAUAACUGCAAGCAACCGAAAAGAAACAAAAGCACCACAACCCAUACAUCCCUUGAACAACGACGAUUCUAUAGAUUCUGAUCGUCGAAAUUGGUGAGAAAUAUGAACUAACGAGAAAAAGACCUUCACCCAAACCACCAUAAACCAUUCAAAACCUAGAUUAAACUAAAGAGAAAUAGCAUAUCCUCCCUCACGUAGCGGCGGUGAAAAGCACCACCAAGCACGGAAGGAGAUCAGGCGACGUGGAGUUUCUUCUUCUUUUCUCUCUCGACGGCUUGACCUAAUUUUUCUGACCAGAUAGGUGUCUUAUGUUCUAUAUACUAUGGUGUUUCAAAAUUUUCAGUUAUAUCUAUCAUUACUGUCCUCAAACGGCCGGCCGGUUACUUUGUGGCUUUUCAUAAAUUGCUGAGAAGUCAAUAUCUUUUGUGGUGAAACCUACACCGUAUAAUUUAACUCUCCUUUGAAGAGCAAAUCGUUUACUCUAUAGACCAACUCAUAAUUGUUUCCAGUGGCAAUGUUCGGUGUAAAAUCGCAGCGACAAAUCGCAGCGACAACGAUCAGUGAUCCGAAUUUAGAAGAAAAAAAUGAGAUAAUUUAAUGGAAAAGAUAGAAGAAGAAAAGACGAUCAAUUUUAUCGUGGACUUAACUCUUUUAGAGGGCAUGACUUAUACCUUAUGGUUGCCCGCUAUUAUUAAUAAUGGCUUAGGGGUAGCGCUAAAAACUACAAAGCAACUCGUACAAAAGAUCAAAAAUCUGAUCCGAAUUAUAUCGAAUUAUAUGUUUAAUUAGUCGAGAAGUUUUAGGUAGUUUCGUUGUCCAUUAUAGGUUACAUCAAUAUGUUAACUUGAAUAAAUAAUUCAUGGAGGAUCUCAAUUAGUCAAUUAGUUUGUAAUUACUAAAUCGGUUUUUUAAAUGAUGAGCAAACCUCGACAGUUUCUUGGGUGACAUUUUGUCGUGUUAGUUUCUUCCAAGAGAAAACAUAUACAUACAUAUAGUGAAUGUAUGUGUGUGUUUGUGCUGUGUGCAUGUAAAAACGGAUGAGACAUGUGAUUGGGUCUAUAUUUGUCAAUGGGCAGUGAUGGUAACAUCUCUUUUAGUGCUCACAUGCACCAGUUCACGACCUUUGCUUUUGUCUCCACAGCUCCUCCAAUCUGUGUGUUCUUAAAAUUGUAUUAUCUUGUUUCUUUGUUUUUAUAUAUUCAUAUCUAAUAUAACUCGUCAUUUUCUGGCGACACUAAGUUAUUGGUUAGUUAUUUUACUUUUCAUGGCUGCUAGCCUGCUAGAAAUAGAAAACUUAAAUUACGUAACUUUAAGCUUGUUACCUUAGGUACUCUCGUCUUUUUUUACAGCAACGACUAGAUACACAGUAACAAUAAUUAAUAUAAAUCCAUGCUCAAAUGCUUUCCGUAUGUAAAUUGUAUAAAUGAUGAUAAAAGUCCAAAUUUCAAAAGAUCACAUGCUAAAUACAUAAAUACCUUGAGCCAACGCUUGAAUACAGACAUUAAGGCUCUUAAUGAUGAGCAAAUGUAACAGGGGUUUCUAUCUCUAGUUAUAAAGGACUUACAGCUGUGAGUACUGCCACCUGGAUUCGAAUCCCGGCCACUGGGAAAUUAAUAUUUCAGCAUCGCCAGGGACAGAGGACCGACACGUGGCAACACGUGACUAGUCUGGAUUACUUCUGUGGAGUCAGGAUACCUCUGUAUAAUUCAAAAAAAAAAUGAUGAGCAAAUGAAUGAAUGGAAAUAGUGAACACUAUAAGAAAACACGAUAACUUCUGACAGAAUUUUUGACUAAUUCCCUACGACAAAUAGACAAAAUACAUUCUGUUGAAACUUGUCAAGAAUCCGUAGGAAACUGUUGGAGAUGUCAAACAAAGAGGUUCAAGCGAAAAAUGCAUCAAUCAUGGUUCAGAACACUGACCCUGCCUGGCAAAUCGCAAAAAAAAAAAAAAAAAAAAAAAAAAAUUCAUGGAAGCGAUGCGCCGCAAGUUUGGCGUCUUUUAGUUUUAUGUUUUCAUUCUUACUUACUUUUAAAUACUUGGUUUUGUAUAAAAUUAAUUUAUUUUACUUUAUUAUUUUCAAAUUAAAAAUUUUAGUUAGUAAAAUAUUUUUUUUUAAAAUAUAUGAUUUAACUAUAUAUAUAUAAUUUUGUUAAAAAAUCAUCGCGAAUAACUCUUGAUGGAUCUUCACUUUCGACAACUCCUUUCGUCUGAAAACAGUCUUUGGGAAUUCAUAUCACAACAAGUUCUCGACGUAUUAUUUUCUUUGAUGAGGUAGACCAUCGAAAAUGUUUAUAGGAAAUCCGAAAUCCGUCGGAACAGGCAUUCCAGAUGACCUUCCACCAAAUAUGUUCAUCGAUAAUAAUACGUUUUGUAGAGGAAGUUCCUUAUAUUCUUCAAAAUUUACACCAAUUUAAAAUAAUAUAGAUGGUUCUUGUCAUUCCUUUCAGUAAAUUUUAUUUUUUUAUCAAAUUUUGUAGAAACAUUAAAUAACCAAAUAUUUCUCUUCAGCUCUAUCAUUGUUCCUUCUAUUAUUUUAUUUUUAAUUCAUGUUAUUUUUUAAUGGUUACCAGUUAGCGUAUUUUCGCCAAAAUUAUAUAUAAGAUCUUUUCCACAGAUAAUUUCUGAAACAUGUUCUCAAUUAAUCAUUUAGAUACGAAAAUAAAAUAAUAAAUACAAGAUAAAUAUAAAAUUAUAGAUAAAUACAUAUGAUAACGAUAAUAAAAUGUUUUUGUUUCAAAAUAAUGCAUAAAAUGACAAAAUUAGCAUUCAUUAAAGGAUAUAAAGAUAAAUUUGUGCAUAUGUUUAAAUAGGAAUGAAUUAGAGUUUAAUGUUUGGGAGUGAAAGUUUAGGGUCUAGAGUUUAAUAUCAGGUUUAGAGCUUAGGAUAUAAAAUUUUGGGUAUUGAUAUUUAUUUUAUUUUUAAAGAAAUAUUUAAAAAUAUUUAUUGAUAUUAAAUAUAUUUUAUUAAGAGUAUUUUGGUGUUUGUAGUUUUAACAAAUAUUAUUUUUGGUAUUCUCUCUUUUGUGUGCUAUUUACGAUAAACUAUUUUGUGAUAAAAGCUAUUUUAUGCUAUAUAGUGGAAUUGAUUAAAUUUAUAAAAAAUGUUCUUCAAAUAAGAAAAUAUAAAAACUGGUCAAGUAUUUAUGAAAAAAAUGUUAUAUAUAUUUUUAAAUUUUUUUAUAUAUUUAUAUGUUUUUUAUUUUACUUAUUUGUCAUGUUAUCCAUGAUUUGAGAUAUUUUGCGUAUUUUUCAUGUUUACAUGAUUUUAAUUAAUAUUUUUGCUUAUUUGCCAUACUUUAAUUAUUUUACCUAAGUCAUUAGUUUGUAUAAUACAUAUUAUUAUUUAUAACUUUAUUAAAAAUGGGUGUGACAUUAAGACAAUGGGGUCUAUAUAUUAUCUUAUUUAUUAAUAUUUAAUUUUUUGAUCUAUGUUGGUUAAUAUUUAAUUAUAUCAUACUGUGAUUUUUCAUUGAUGUGUCCUAUUUAUAUUCUCUUUUUCACUAUUUCAUCAUUCUAAUAUUUUAUCUUUAAAAUGUUAUUGCUGAGGUCAUGAAUGUGAAACUUUUAGAAGUGAUUUUGUGCAUUCGAAUUCUCACGUUAAAAAUUAGAUAGGUUAAUCUCAAUGUUAACUUUAAUAAAUUAUUAAAUUUACAUGUAACAAUUUUAAUUAAAAGUACAUUUAUCUAAAUUAGUUUAUAAAUUGUGAUAGGGACUAGAUAUUUUUAUAAUUAAACUCUUAAUAAUCUAUGUAAGUACUGUUUUAAGCUGACAAGUUACCAUCAAUUUUAACUGAAUAUUAUCUUUGAUUCAAAAAGAUGAAUUUUCGAAACUAUAUAUACUAAACCAGGCCUAUACUGAACUCCAUUUAUCUUUGUUGUGUAUGUCUGGCCGCUCAUAUAUUUAGAUUUUAGUUUAGUUUAUAAAAGUUGCCAUCAAUUUAACUGAAUAUUAUCUUCGAUUCAAAAAGAUGAAAUUUCUGAACUAUUCAUACUAAUCCCUAUUUAUCUUUGUCUUGUAUGGCCGCUCAUUUGUUGAGUUCUUAGCUUAGUUUAUACCUAUAUAUAUGAGUCAAUGUUAUAUUGCUUCUAAUAUCUUAUGUGAUUUUAUUGUGUAACAGGGAGCAUUAAUACAAUCAUUACAUAUCAGAAGGAGAGAGGAGGAAUGAUAGGCGGACUACUACAAAAUCGAAAAAUAAAAUUAUAAAGGUAUUAUGUUAUCAUGUAUAUAUAUUUGGGUUUUUGACAAAGAUGAUAAAUUUAAGUUUGAUUCUUAAUGGUGGUUAAAUAUAGCAACAAUAACAGAGAAAACAAAUUGUAUAUACAAAUAAAAUUUCACACUUUAUAUCACGAACAAUGUGAAAGGUUUUUCGUUUAUGGUUUUCGGUGGGCAAAACAAAGACUUUAAUGGAGGGUUUGGAAUCUGCUACAGUGACAAAAAAAUGUAUUUAAUGUUACAUGGUAUAAAGGUUAAAAGCACCAUUAUCAUUAAUGAAUCAUUAUAUAAUUUAUCUAUGUUAUUACUUGUUGAUAAAUUUGUUUAAUAUAUUAUACUAUAAGAUUAUAUAUUGGAUAAUAUAUAAGUAGUUUUUUAGGUUUGUAUUGGAUACGUUGGAUCAUAAGUAAUUUUAAUUUAUUUGUAAAGUUAUGCGGACAAAAUACUUAGUUCUCUAAUUAAAUUAUUAAUUUUUAAAUAUAUAUAUAUAAUUGAAUCAUUUAAUUAUUUAAAAAUAUUAAUGAUGUGCUCCAACAUAAAAGAUAUUAUUGUCAUAUGCUUCAAAAGUCAAACGUACUGAUAUGAUUCUUUUUUAUUAAAGAAAAAUAUAUGACAACUGCACUUAUUGUAUUAAUUCAUCACAUAUAUAUUCAAACUAUAAUAAUGCAAUGAGCGUAAAAAUAAAGUAAAAUAUAUAUACAUAUAUAUAUGAUAAAACUGGAAUCGUUUUAAAUCUGCCUCAACAUUCCUCUAACAAGAAUCGUUUUCUCUGACGAGACCGACUAACCAAUCGUUUUUACCUCACGUUUAUAGUUUGAAUAUAUAUGUGAUGAAUUAAUAAUGCAUUAUUAUUAUAUAUUCAAACUAUAAUAAAGCAUUAUGAGCGUAAAAUAUAUAUAUGAUAAAACUGGAAUCGUUUUAAAUCUGCCUCAACAUUCCUCCAACAAGAAAAUAGUUUUCAGCUUCCUCUGACGAGACUGUCAAACCAACCGUUUCUACCUCAAGUUUAUGUCAAGAAAACUCGCAAGGUAAAGAUAAUACUGUUUAAAAAAUAUUAUGCUGUCAAGGGUGAUUACCUUGUUUGACAGAUGCAGCUCACAAGAGCAGAAAAAUGUUAUGGAUUGAAGAGUUAUAAAGGACUAAAUUAUGAAGAAAAUACAAUACUCCGUCAGUUUCAUUAAAAAAUGUUAUUUGAAUUUUUUUCACAUAUUAAAAAAUAAUUUUAAAAUCUCUAUUUUAUGAUUUAUUUACACAUUAAAUAAAAGUUUUUUUUAAUAAUAUAUUAGCACAAUAGGAAUAAAACUGAUUUAUUUUAAAAAAAAAUUGCAUUAAAAUUAUAAACUAAAACUUUAAAACUGACAUUCUUUGCGAAACGGAGAAAAUAACAAA